CCUACGGGAGGCAGCAGUGGGGAAUAUUGCACAAUGGGGGAAACCCUGAUGCAGCGACGCCGCGUGAGUGAAGACGUAUUUCGUUAUGUAAAGCUCUAUUUGCAGGGAAGAAAAUGACGGUACCCGAGUCAGAAGCCCCGGCUCACUACGUGCCAGCAGCCGCGGUAAUACGUAGGGGGCAAGCGUUAUCCGGAUUUACUGGGUGUAAAGGGAGCGUAGGCGGCAGUGCAAGUCUGGAGUGAAAGGCGGGGGCUCAACCCCCGGACUGCUCUGGAAACUGUACGGCUGGAGAGCAGGAGAGGUAAGUGGAAUUCAUGGUGUAGCGGUGAAAUGCGUAGAUAUUAGGAAGAACACCAGUGGCGAAGGCGGCUUACUGGGCUGUAACUGACGUUGAGGCUCGAAAGCGUGGGGAGCAAACAGGAUUAGAUACCCGUGUAGUC
rnacentral:rRNA from 1 species